GGGGAAGAUCACAGCUGUUGAUUUUUAGCAGAAGCUUGCUGCGGUUGGUUUUCCUGAUGUGAACUUGGCUGUUUGCUCCUCUGGAGGAGCUCACGUCCUUUCUGUCACUGGGAUGGCUGCUGUUGCCCUCAGGGGGGCUCUGAUCUUCACCAUGAGCAUCACUUCCUGGCUCCAGUGUGGAUCCCUCCAGCCUAAAGAAACAAAUCUUUCACCCCACCAGUGCAGGUUUUCUGGCUUCUACCACUGGCCUUGGGCCUUCCAGUACUUGGGAUCCUGGGAUUCAUUGCAGUGCCCCAUGCUUGCUAGGUCUUGGAUUUCCGAACCAGGGCAGAGGGUAUGAAUUUUUCAAAAAUUGUCAGCGAUCAGGUGGUGCCCUAGUCCUCUUCCCCCUGGAGCUUUCC
rnacentral:lncRNA from 1 species